rnacentral:tRNA from 1 species
GGGUAUAUAGCUCAGUGGUAGAGUGCGUGCCUAGCAUGAACAAGGUACUGGGUUCAAUCUCCAGUACCUCCA